AUGUUUGGAGGGUCACAAGUUUAUAAUACAUGCACCUGGAGUGUUAAUGGUCCAGGGAACUUGAUUUGUGAAAGCUACAAACAAUGCAUGGGCAAUAUGUUGAUGUGGAAUUUCCUAAAAGGAAAACAGCUUGACGUAAGCAAAUUAUUGGGUGAAGAUUGUUUCCUGUCCACAACAGCAGUUGAGGGAACCUUUUAUCUCACCAUGGAGUACUAUGAUGCUGAGGAUGACGAAAACUACAGGGUGACAGUGCCCAUUGAUGGCAGGGAGGGUUGGACCUAUGGUAUCAUAAAUGAUCAUGGUCGAUUUGAGUACCAUCAUGCUUAUAUGCGAUACAUGACAGAAGAAAAUGAGAUGAUGUUGGAUUUCCCUGGAAACUAUGCGAACUUGGCACCAGAUGGUCACACCAAGAUGCAACUUGGCGUACGUUCCAUUCAGUGGGCUAUCAAAGUUGCCGCAAAGCAUACAGCAGAAAUGCCUACCACACUGGAAUUUCAAACAGCGUGUGGGAUAAUUGUCAAUUAUGCCUGUGAAGGGUAUAAGCAGAAUCCAUCAAUGAAAUUGAAUUGUGAUUCACUCAUAUCAGAGGGCAAUACCUACAUGGAUUGGUUGGUAUCGAAAAAGAAUAAGAGGUGGAUGAAGUUCAGUGAAGGCAGUCUUCACUGCUUCUUGAUGAGGCUCAGAUAUCCUGCUGACUUAUGUGAGGCGAAAUUUCCUCCAACAGAGGAUGUUGUAACUGCUGAGGAUGCUAUGAGAUGCCUCUUGAUUUAUCCUUAUAACGACAUCCCAAGGCCACAGUGGGAGACGCGCACAAGAACUUGGAAGUGUUUCCCACUGGAUAGAGGCGCGGAAGAAGCCGGUGGCCAACCACAUCACCUGAGCAGCAUCUUCGGAGAAAGAUGGCAGUAUAAUAAGCAGCUGCUACGUGAUAUUCCGAGCCAGAACUUCAUUGAUGUGGAUGCCGCUGUUCAAAAUAUCCAGGGAUUCAAAAUAAGGAGGGCCUCACCGACACCAAGUAGACCAUUCUCAGCAACUACAAUGAAGAAAUGUCUUCAUCGUCUUCCGUCAGUUAUCAACAAACUGAGAUGA
rnacentral:rRNA from 1 species